UACGUAGGUGGCAAGCGUUAUCCGGAAUUAUUGGGCGUAAAGCGCGCGCAGGUGGUUAAUUAAGUCUGAUGUGAAAGCCCACGGCUUAACCGUGGAGGGUCAUUGGAAACUGGUUGACUUGAGUGCAGAAGAGGGAAGUGGAAUUCCAUGUGUAGCGGUGAAAUGCGUAGAGAUAUGGAGGAACACCAGUGGCGAAGGAGGCUUCCUGGUCUGCAACUGACACUGAGGCGCGAAAGCGUGGGGAGCAAACAGG
rnacentral:rRNA from 1 species